UACGUAGGCGGUUUAUUAAGUCAGAUGUGAAAGCCCGGGCUUAACCUGGGAACUGCAUUUGAUACUGGUAAACUAGAGUAUGGUAGAGGGGGGUAGGAAUUCCUAGUGUAGCGGUGAAAUGCGUAGAUAUUAGGAGGAAUACCAGUGGCGAAGGCGGCCCCCUGGACCAAUACUGACGCUGAGGUACGAAAGCGUGGGUAGCGAACA
rnacentral:rRNA from 1 species